AAAGAAUUAGUUAAGAAAUAACAUAAAUAUGUCNAAUUUAAAUUAUUAUAAUUAUAUAAUAUUCUUUU
rnacentral:tRNA from 1 species